GAUGAACGCUGGCGGCGUGCCUAAUACAUGCAAGUAGAGCGCACAGAUGAGGAGCUUGCUCCUCUGACGUUAGCGGCGGACGGGUGAGUAACACGUGGAUAACCUACCUAUAAGACUGGGAUAACUUCGGGAAACCGGAGCUAAUACCGGAUAAUAUAUUGAACCGCAUGGUUCAAUAGUGAAAGACGGUAUUGCUGUACUAUAUAGAUGAAUCGGGUCCUCUUAGGCAGUAUGGGAAGGUAAGGGUUUACCAAGGCAACGUUGCUAACCCGACCUGAAAGGUGGACCGCCCACACUGGAACUGAGACACGGCCCAGACUCCUACGGGGGGCAGCAUUAGGGAACCUUGGGCAUGGGGGGAAAGCCUGACGGGGCAACGCGCCGUGAGUGAUGAAGGUUUUCGAACCUUAAGACUCUUUGAUAAGGGAGGACCAAAUGUGUAAGGGACUAUGCACGUCUUGACGGUACCUUACCAGAAAGCCACGGCUAACUACGUG
rnacentral:rRNA from 1 species